GGUACCUUUAAUUCAGUCCCGUGAGGCUGACAAGGACAGCGCGUAGAGAAAGAUCAGUGGGAAACGUACACCCUUUUAGAGAAGUGAUGUACCUUUCUCACCAAGAAUCGAGGCUUCUUGUCGGACAAAAACGGCAGGAAGCCUUUUUUU
rfam:Halobacillus mangrovi strain KTB 131, complete genome.